rnacentral:misc_RNA from 1 species
CGAAACACUCAGGUCUCUCUUCCAACUGCUUUUGCAUUCAUCUCCAUAUCCGUCUCUUUCUAAUCUUCUCAGCCAAAGGAAGCCAAAAAAUAAGAAACCCUAAAACUCAGCACUGUAACUGUGCACGCAAAUCGGAAAGAAGAAGAAAAUACCAUUGGACUCUUUCUCUUAUUGGAUGGUAAAACCCACUUUUUCUCUUCACCCUUCUCUAUAUCCACAAUGGGAGCAAGCCGCAAGCUGCAAGGCGAGAUUGAUCGCGUUCUG